AGCUCUGGUUCAGUUCUAGUUCAUUAACUGUAAACAUAUGUAUAUCAUUUUUAAUUGAAAAUAUUUGUAGUGCACCAAAACUUGUAAUACUGGCACCCAAAGACGAACCGUUAAAUGUCUGGAAUAUGAUGAUCAUGAAAAUGCCCUAAAAGAGUCCAAUAAAUGCAGAUAUUCUAUUAGAGAGCCGAUCUAUAGAAGCUGUAAUACACACAAAUGUGAAGAGAAACGCCACGAUCGUAUACAAAAUGAUGGUACCUUAUCUAGUUCCUGUUUCGAUGAAAUUGCCAAUUGUCAGUGGGCUGUCAAAGCUAAACUCUGCAGUUAUGAGUAUUAUCAACACAAAUGCUGUUAUUCCUGCAGCAUAGCAGGAUGAGUAGUGAAUAAACACUAUAGUGAGAGCUGCUGAUGUUAAUGCUAGAGAGGCAGAGAGUAUUUUGAGAGAAUUUCAUGUAGGAGAGUUAAUUCUUUAAUUUAAUUUCUUAAUCUAAGUUUAUUUUUUAUGAAGUUUUUUUUUAAAUAAUUUAAUGCGAAACAAAACAAAAAAAUCCAAUCGAAUAGUUAAAAUGUACGUUUUAUAUGAAAGAAUCAAUUUUGUAUUACUUAAAGAUCAUAAAAUUAAGACAAUACAGAGAAAAAGAGGCACUACUAAUAACAAUAAAAAUACAAAAUAAAAUUUUUAAAUAAA